rnacentral:rRNA from 1 species
GACGAACCGUCCAAACGUUGUUCGGAAUCACUGGGCUUAAAGGGUGCGUAGGUGGGUAGAUAAGUCAGCGGUGAAAUCUCCAGGCUUAACUUGGAAACUGCCAUUGAUACUAUCUGUCUUGAAUAUUCUGGAGGUGAGCGGAAUAUGUCAUGUAGCGGUGAAAUGCUUAGAUAUGACAUAGAACACCCAUUGCGAAGGCAGCUCACUACGGGAUUAUUGACACUGAGGCACGAAAGCGUGGGGAUCAAACAGG